AAACGAAGCAGAACUUCUGGAAAUGAAAAGUUUGCUCCAGGAAUUUUAUAAUGAAAUUGGAAACAUUAAUAACAGAAAAAAACAAGCAGAGGAAAAAAAUCUCAGAGCUCAAAGACUGCUCCUCAGAAUCAACACAGGCAAGAAAAAAUUUAGGGGAAAAAAAGGGAUUUUAAGAAAUGAACAAAGUCUCCAAUAGCAUCACUGCUAAAUUUUUCCAAACGUUUAAAGAAGAGCUAAUAUCAAUCCUACUCAAACUAUUCCAAAAAAAAAAAAUAAAUAAAAUACAGGGGAAGGGAAUACUUCCAGUCUUAUUCUAUGAGGCCAGUAUUACUCAGAUACCAAACCCGACAAAGACACAUCAAAAAGACAGAACUACAGGUUAAUAUUUCUGAUGAACAUUGGUGAAAAAAUAUUCAACAAAAUACUAGCAAACUGAAAUCAACAACACAUUAAAAAGGUCAUUCAUCAUGACAAACUGGGAUUUAUCCCAGGGAUGCAAAAAUCGUUCAAUAUAUACAAAUCAAUCAAUGUGAUACAUCAUAUAAACAGAACGAAAGACAAAAUAAGAACAAGACAUACGGUCAUAUUACUUGAUGCUGAGAAAGCAUUUGAUAAAAUUCAACAUCCCUUCAUGAUAAGAAUCGUCAAAAAAUGAGAUAGAAGGAUCACAACUCAACACAAUAAAAGCCAUAUAUAACAGACCAACAGCUAGUAUCAGUGAAUGGAGAAAAACUGAUAGCCUUUCCACUAAAAUCUGGAACAAGACAAGCAUGCCUACUUUCACCACUGUUAUCCAACAUAGUACUGAAAGUCCUACCUAGAGCAAUCAGAAAAGAAAGAGAAAUAAAGGUCAUCUAAAUAGGAAGGGAAGAAGUCAAAUUAUCCUCAUUUUCACAUGAUAGGAUCUUAUAUGUAGAACAACCUAAAGACUCCAUCCAAAAAAACUAUUAUAACUGAUAAACAAAUUUAGUAAAGUUGUAGGAUACAAAAUUAACAUACAAAAAUUAGUAGUAUUUCUUUAUGUCAACAGUGAACAAUAUGAAAAAGAAAUCAAGAAAGUAAUCCCAUUUAAAAGAGUUACAAAUAAAAUAAAAUGCCUAAGAAUAAACUUAACCAAUGAAGUGAAAGAUCCUGACAAUGAAAUCUAUAAAAACAUUGAUGCAAGAAAUUGAGGAAAAAACAAAGAAAUGGAAAGAUAUUUCAUGUUCAUGGAUUGGAAGUAUCAAUAUAGUUAAAAUGCUGAUACUAUCUAAAGAAAUCUACAGAUUUAAUACACUCACUAUCAAAAUACCAAUUGCAUUCUUCACAGUAAUAGAAGAAAAAAUUUCUAAAAUUUGUAUGAAACCACAAAAGACCCAGAAGAGCAAAAGCUAUCCUGAAUCAAAAUAAUAAAACUGGAGUAACCACAUUACCUAACUUCAAAUUAUACGACAGAGCUACAGUAAACAAAAGCACAGGGUACUCGCAUAAAUACAGAUACAUAGACCAACAGAACAAAACAGAAAACCCAGAAGUAAAUCUGUACAUCUACAGUUGACUCAUUUUCUACACAGGUGCCAAUAACAUACAUGGGAGAAAUUACAGUGUCUUCAAUAAAUGGUACUGGGAAAACUGGACAUCCUAUCCAUAUGCAGAAGAAUGAAAUCAGACCCCUAUUUUUCACUGUAUACGAAAAUCAAAUCAAAAUGGGUUAAAGACUUAAAUCUAUGGCCUCAAACUAUGAAACUACUGAAAGAAAACAUUGGGAGAAACUCUCCAGAACAUUGGAGUGAGCACAGACAUCUUGAAUAAUAUUCUGUAAGCACACGGCAACCAAAGCAAAAAUGGACAAAUGGGAUUACAUCAAGUUAAAAAUUUUCUGCACAGCCAGGGAAACAAUCCACAAAAUGGAGAUACGACCUACAGAAUGGGAGAAAAUAUUUGCAAACUAUCUAUCUGACAAGGGCUUAAUAACCAGAAUACAUAAGGAGACCAAACAACUCAAAAGGAAAAAAAAAUCUAAUAAUCUGAUAAAAAAAUAGGGAAAAUAUUUGAAUAGACAUUUUUCAAAAGAAGACAUACAAAUGGCAAACCAGUAUAUGAAAAGCUCCUCAACAUCAUUGAUCAUCCCAGAAAUGCAAAUCAAAACUACAAUGAAAUAUCAUUUCACUCCAGUUAAAAUGGCUUUUAUCCAAAAGACAGGCAAUAACAAAUGCUGGCAAGGAUACGGAGAACAGGAAACCCUUAUACACUGUGGGCAGGAAUGUAAAUUAAUACAAUCACUAUGGAAAACAGUUUGGAGUUUCCUCAAAACUAAAAUCAGAACUAACAUAUGAUCCAGGAUCCCACUGCUAGGUAUAUACCCAAAAGAAACGAAAUCCAUAUACUGAAGAGGUAUCUUCACUCUCAUGGUUAUUGCAGCACUACUCACAGUAGCCAAGAUCUGAAAGUAACCUAUGUGUCCAUCAGCGGAUGAAUGGAUAAGGAAAACUUGGUACAUAUACACAAUGGAGGACUAUUCAGCAAUAAAAAGGAAUGAAAUCUGUCAUUUGAAACAAUAUAGAUGCAACUGGAGGCCAUUCGGCUAACUGAAAAAACCCAGGUGCAGAAGGACAAACUUCACAUGUCUUCACUUACUGAUGGGAGCUAAAAAUUAAAAUAAUUAAAUUCAUUGAGAUAGGGAGGAAAAUGAUGGUUACCAGAAGCUGGGGAAGGUAAUGGGUGGGAAGGUGAAGUGGGAUAGUUAAAGGGUACAAAAAUAUAGUUAGAAUGGAUAAGAUUUACUAUUUGCUAGCACAACCGGGUGACUA
rnacentral:lncRNA from 10 species